GGCUGGCCCCAUGCAGUGGGGAGAGAUGAUCCCAGCCCUCUUCCCUCCAGAUCUUCUACUCAUGUGUUAUGAUAAUUUAUGAAGCAGGGCUGGCUGGCACCAUUCAUAAAGAAACUGAGUCACGCAGAAGACUCAGGAGCUCCUGGUUUUCAAGCCUUUUCAUCUUGGACAGUGAGUUUUCAAGCCUUCAGACUCAGACUGAAUCAUCACAUCAACUUUCCUGCUUCUUCAGAUGGCCCAUUGUGGGACUUCUUGGCCUUCAUAACCACACAAGCUAAUUCUUAUAAUAAAUCUCCUCUAACAUACAUAUCCAUAAAUCCUAUUGGCUAUGCCUCUCUGGAGAGCCCUGACCAAUAAAGAUGGUGUCAUGCUCAUCAAUCACUUUUAAUAUCCUUUGAUCAUGUCAUUCCACUCAGAGACCAGUGCAUUGGUUACAUCAAAGGCUUUAUUAACUCAUAGAUCUGAGUUUGAAUCCCAACUCGUCUUGACUUGUCUCAGUUACAGCUGUGUUCUUACAUCUAUUUCUCAGUGCUGUUGUGAGGAUUAAGUAACAUGUUUAUGUAAAGUGCUGGACAAAUUGCU